rnacentral:rRNA from 1 species
UACAGAGGAUGCAAGCGUUAUCCGGAAUGAUUGGGCGUAAAGCGUCUGUAGGUGGCUUUUUAAGUCCGCCGUCAAAUCCCAGGGCUCAACUCUGGACAGGCGGUGGAAACUACCAAGCUGGAGUACGGUAGGGGCAGAGGGAAUUUCCGGUGGAGCGGUGAAAUGCGUAGAGAUCGGAAGGAACAUCAGUGGCGAAAGCGACUGCCUGGUCCAGCAUCGACGUUCAGGCACGAAAGCGUGGGGAGCAAACAGG